rnacentral:misc_RNA from 1 species
UCCGAUUUGUCACCGGCAGUCCCCUAUGAGUCCCCGUCUUUCACGCUGGCAACAUAGGGCAGGGGUUGCGCUCGUUGCGCCACUUAAGGCAACACCUCACGGCACGAGCUGACGACAGUCAUGCAGCACCUGUGCAGGCUCCCGAAGGAGCGCCGUGUUUCCACGGCUUCACCCUGCAUGUCAAGUCCUGGUAAGGUUCUUCGCGUUGCGUCGAAUUAAACCACAUGCUCCGCUGCUUGUGCGGGCCCCCGUCAAUUCCUUUGAGUUUCAGCCUUGCGGCCGUACUCCCCAGGUGGGGAACUUAAUGCGUUAGCUUCGGCACGGACGGAGUCGACACCGCCCACACCUAGUUCCCAUCGUUUACGGCGUGGACUAC